UACAGAGGGGGCAAGCGUUGUUCGGAAUUACUGGGCGUAAAGGGCGCGUAGGCGGCCUUCUAAGUCGAACGUGAAAGCCCUCAGCUCAACUGAGGAAGCGCGCCCGAAACUGCAGAGCUUGAGUACCGGAGAGGAUGGCGGAAUUCCCCAAGUAGAGGUGAAAUUCGUAGAUAUGGGGAGGAACACCGGUGGCGAAGGCGGCCAUCUGGACGGAUACUGACGCUGAGACGCGAAAGCGUGGGGAGCAAACAGG
rnacentral:rRNA from 1 species